CAGCCUUUAAUGUAAUUAAACCCAAGCUCUCAUUUUCUCAGCUUCCGUGUUCAGCUCGGGCACCCCAUUGUCAUCUCCCUGCUCGAGCUCUCAUCUCUCUCCUCCUUCUUCACUGGCGAGCAGUCCCUCCUCCUUCUCCACCGGCGAGCUCUCCCUCCUCCUUCUCCACCGGCGAGCACGCCCACUUUCGGGCUCUGUCUCUCCUCCCCAUAAAUACCCCCCUAAAUCCUCCGUAGAUUUUCCAAUAAACCAAAAUUUAAUCGAAGUUCACUGCUGAAUUCGUAAGCUUGGAAGCUUGUUCAAAAAUUGCUCGAUUUUUGUUGAAAUCAGGAACAUGUUUGGAGGUAGUGAUACUAAUCCUAUGCUUCCUGUUCACAUGGAUGGUGUCAGGUUGCCGUAUAAUGCCAAUAUAGUGCCAUUGAUGCAAUUAGAUGAUCAGGGGCUGGUUUGCACUGAUCUGCGCUGACUGAUCUGUUGCUGAAUGAUCUGCAUGAUCUGUUGCUGACUGAUCUGCAUGAUCUGAUCUGCUGCUACGCGCGCUGCUGCUGACUGAUCUGUUGCUACGCUGCUGCUGCACUAGUGCAAUGUUGCUGGCUGCUGGAUUAUUGUUGUUGCUGCUGCUUGAUUAUUGUUGUUGUUGCUGCUGUAUUUUUUGUUGCUGGCUGCUUAACUUGUGUGAAUGUUCUAACCGCCACAUUUGUAUCUUGUACUUGAUGCAGCAACACCCUAGAAAUUGUGAACCUUAUCGCAGAGGUUGAACAUACUGCAGGAAAGAAGGGCACAUAAAUUUAUAUGACUCUUGUUGAACUAAAAGGUGGUGAUUGAUUUCAUAAAGUGGUUGCUUGGGUUGGAGGUAGAAUUAUUACAACGGAACAUCAUCCAAAGGAUUAAUAAUGCGGGAUCCAAUGCAUAUAGCUAUAAGCCUAUGGCAGAAGCUUCAGAUGAGGAUCUCAUUGAGGUGGUCACUACAAAUACCCUUGGUUUGAUGAUCUGCUGUCGGGAGGCUAUGAAGCUGAUGUUAAACCAACCCAGAGGUGGUCAUAUAUUUAAUAUUGAUGGUGCUGGUUCUGAUGGAAGACCGACUCCAAGGUUUUCACAACUCCAAGGGAGGGGCCCUUUACCAAAGAGGAGUUGGAUAAAGUUCGAAACAAGUGGACUACUUACUUCAACGAUUGUGAACUACCCUCAGUGUAAUAAAUAGAGCAGGCUUGUAGUUAUCCGUGACUCUUACAUUAUUUUGUUAUUUAUCGAUUUAAUUAAUUACAUUUGAAUUAAUUCGGUAAUAUUAUUGGAAAUUUGAAAUUCA